UGGGGUUUCAAAGCGGCAUGU
rnacentral:miRNA from 1 species